UGCUUGUGCAGAAUGUUCCUUGGCUUUGUGGUGGAUUCUUGUGGUUAGCCUGGGUUUUCCAUGUGUAUCCUGCUUUCUCGUGGCUACCACCACUGAUUCAGAAGUUCUGGGGAGAAAGAAAUGGGCCAACAUUCUGCCUGUAUUUCUAUUGACUCUAUACUUCCAUUUUAUUCACAGAAAGUAGAGCGUCCAUCUAAAGUGACUAAUAGAUGGAUCAAAGAAUCAGCAACUUCAUUAGUAAGUAAAUCAAAAUUAAAAUUGUAUGGUGUAGCUUUUCUUACCUGUCAAUAAAGCAAUAAUAAAGCAUUUGGUAAUAUUUAAUGUUAUUCUGGUCACAGAUUGCUGGAGAGAGUGUAAAUGGGUUCAGAUUUUCUGCUGGGAAAAUCGAC
rnacentral:lncRNA from 1 species